UAUAUGGAGAGUUUGAUCCUGGCUCAGGACGAACGCUGGCGGCGUGCCUAAUACAUGCAAGUCGAGCGGACGGAUGGGAGCUUGCUCCCUGAAGUCAGCGGCGGACGGGUGAGUAACACGUGGGCAACCUGCCUGUAAGACUGGGAUAACUUCGGGAAACCGGAGCUAAUACCGGAUAAUUCUUUCCCUCACAUGAGGGGAAGCUGAAAGAUGGUUUCGGCUAUCAC
rnacentral:rRNA from 1 species